AUACCGUGAUCAAUUAGGCGGUUCCCCCAGGGCGAGGCUGUUCCAUUGCACUGCGGAACGGUUGACCCUUGCGAUUACUCCUAAUGCGAGUAACUCGGACGCUAAUUUUUGGUAG
rnacentral:snRNA from 1 species